UCCAACUGUAACUGGCAGAUGCUUUAAUACAAUCUGGAUUUUAUUUUUCUGUGAGAAGGUUUUCUGUAUAGCUUGUGGUGCUAACGAUGAAACAGAGAGGAAAUAAUGCAAAAGGUGUCCCAAGGCUCCUGACCAGUGAACAAAGAUUUGAGAAAGACAGCCAAGCUCAUGUUUUCUCCUGAUCAAGAAAAUCAUCCAUCUAAAGCACCAGUAAAAUAUGGUGAACUCAUUGUCUUAGGGUAUAAUGGGUCUCUCCCAAAUGGCGAUAGAGGAAGGAGGAAAAGUAGGUUUGCUUUGUUUAAAAGACCUAAGGCAAAUGGGGUGAAGCCCAGCACUGUGCAUAUUGCUUGUACUCCUCAGGCUGCAAAGGCAAUAAGCAACAAAGACCAGCAUAGCAUAUCAUAUACUUUAUCUCGGGCCCAGACUGUGGUGGUUGAAUAUACUCAUGACAGCAACACCGAUAUGUUUCAG
rnacentral:lncRNA from 1 species